rnacentral:snRNA from 1 species
GGAUGUGAGGGCAAUCUGGCUGCGACAUCUAUCACCCCAUUGAUCACCAGGGUUGAUUUGGCUGAUCUGGCUGGCUAGGAGGGUGUCCCCUUCCUCUCUCACUGCUCCAUGUGUGUCCCUCUCAGAGCUACACAGCUGGUCAGAGGACAACCACCCCAAUAGCGAAGGACCAUUUCCUCAAUAAAAGGUAUAUGAAUAGCUGUGCUCCCCUGCUAGAACCUGCAAACAGGCUCUCAAAAACACACCUCACAUGCCCCAGCACUGGGCUGUUUCUCAGGUCAACUCUGCUUGUUCACUGUAAACUUGUUUGUUA